GACGAACGCUGGCGGCGUGCUUAACACAUGCAAGUCGAACGGAAAGGCCCUGCUUUUGUGGGGUGCUCGAGUGGCGAACGGGUGAGUAACACGUGAGUAACCUGCCCUUGACUUUGGGAUAACUUCAGGAAACUGGGGCUAAUACCGGAUAGGAGCUCCUGCUGCAUGGUGGGGGUUGGAAAGUUUCGGCGGUUGGGGAUGGACUCGCGGCUUAUCAGCUUGUUGGUGGGGUAGUGGCUUACCAAGGCUUUGACGGGUAGCCGGCCUGAGAGGGUGACCGGCCACAUUGGGACUGAGAUACGGCCCAGACUCCUACGGGAGGCAGCAGUAGGGAAUAUUGCACAAUGGGCGGAAGCCUGAUGCAGCAACGCCGCGUGCGGGAUGACGGCCUUCGGGUUGUAAACCGCUUUAGCCUGUGACGAAGCGUGAGUGACGGUAAUGGGUAAAGAAGCACCGGCUAACUACGUG
rnacentral:rRNA from 1 species